rnacentral:rRNA from 1 species
AUUCACGGAGAGUUUGAUCCUGGCUCAGGACGAACGCUGGCGGCGUGCUUAACACAUGCAAGUCGAACGGUGAAGCCUU